UUUGAACAGGUGAUUUGGACCUCGAUGGAGAUUUGGUCCCAAAAUCACUCGUUUGGAUGCUUAAAUCGUAAGAGAUUUGAGGUUAUUUAAAAAGGCUUGAAGAAAAUUAAGUAGAAAUUUAAGAGUAGAGAUGGGAGAUUUGAAAAUUUUAUCUAAAAUUACCUUUUAUUUUUAUCAAAAUUACACAUGUCACUUGAUUAUACUAUAAGACAUCCUACUUCAAAUUUAUCCUAGUAUUUAGUUUUUUUUUCACCCUAUUUCAACUAGAUUGUCACACCAAUGAUCUCAAAAUUUUAAACAAUUUUGGACAUUUUAUUUGGUGCAUAAUUUUGGUUUGAUGGUAUUAUGUGAGAUGUUGAUUUUUUUUUGAAUUACUUUUGUGCUUGUUUAUAGUUUACGGAUGAUUAUAUCGUAAGGGGUAUUUUAGUAGUUCUAUUUUUUCAUUUGUUAAUUUAAUUUUCUAUUUAUAUAAUAACUACACUUAAAAUUACCCACAAUUCAUCCAUCCAAACGUGUUAUUUCAAAAAUAGCAUGCUCCAUCUAAAUCUCUUUUAUUUUAAAUCUCUAACUAUUUCUAAUCUCUUUUAUUUUAAAUCACCUAAAUCACCUACCAAACGACGAGUAAGGAUCUUUCUCAGUAUUGUAUAUAAAUCGAUUUUGAAUUAAUACAUGCAUUUGCAGUAUAUAUAGCAAACGACACAAUUUACUUCAAAGAUGCAUUUCCGUUAUUAGUAAUGGAAAAUCCGAUCAGACUUAGCCCGACUCAAGCCGGUGAAACCAGAGUUAUCCUAUAUUAAAUAGGAUCGAGUAGAGCAGACUUUCAAAAUAUAAUAUUUCAAAUUUGUUACGUUAUUGAUGAGUGAACAAACGCAUACUACAAAUCAACUAACGACUAACUACUAAAAUUUAGUACUAAGAUUUAUAAAAAGGGAAAUGCUAUAGGGAAACAUAGAAACUCGGUGCCUAACCAAUCAAAUCAUCACAACAUAAAAAAUCAGUGCCAAACCAAUCAAAUCAUCACACCGUUCCAUUUUAAAUUUUAUUCGCAAAGGAAACUGAUAAUACCAAGGAACAGUAGAUGCAGCGGCAGUAACAACCACAUCCCCGCCAACUACUCCAGUUUGACAAUCAGUGGCGUAAUUAUUCAGAAGAUUCAAUAACUUUUCAUUUUUACGUUAGAAGCGUGGUUUUAAAUAAUUCGUCGAUCAGGUAAUGGAGCAACUCAUUGCAUGAUGGAAAAGACUCUUAAAUGUUUUUCAAGAAUGUUACCGAUAAUCCUUACUUAUUGAAUUAAUGCCUAAUGAUUGUGUGUUUGCUAUCUCUUUAUAUUUACAAUGAGCUAACUAUGCCAAAAAUAUACUAAAGAAACGUCACAUAAUUUUAGAAAUUAUGAUUUAUGUAUGCUUCAACCGAGUAUUACUUAUCAGGCUACCCCCGCGAUGAUGAGUACUGCAGAAUGCCAACCCAAAAAAAUGAUGGAAAUAGAAAAUAUGAAGUUAUUCUAAUGUUAGAGUUGUGUGAUAGCAAUUUACAUAUAUCUAAGUUUUCAAUUUUAACACACCACAUAAAAGAACACCCAAAACAAUAUUUAUUUACUUUCUAUUUUCUAUUGACCGAAAGGUCCACUCCGAGAAGAAAGAAAACUGACAAAACAGCAUAAAAAUUUAAUCAGAAAGAACGACGAUUAACCAUUGCAUGAGCACCAAAACCACCAUCUUGUUAAUUGUCAUCCUGUAAGUAAAAAGGUACACGCUUUAACGAUAAGGCUAACAAGUAUCUAAUAAGUUAGUGUACAAGCAAAACAGUAAUGGAAAUCCUGUAAGGUAUUUUUCUAACUUUCAGCUCUUUUCAUUCAAACAAGUAGCCAAAGUAUACGAACUGCAAAUCAUUGAUGAAUUGCCUGUGGUUAUUCGAAUACAGCAUACGGAAUGGCAAUCUCACCAAAAGUCAGGCCUCCGAAUUUACCUCAAGAACCAAAAUUUUGUGUCUCACACGUACCUCUCUCUAUCUGUUCAAAGGUUCUAACUGCACUUCCAUUCUCCCCGAGUCUCGCAAAUCCGUUUGGUCAGAGGCUCUCGUCGAGUUGAGGAGAUCGACCGAAUCAUCUUCUUCGGUGUUACCCAACACCCAAUUACUACUACUGCUACUUCUCCCGGGGAUUCUGUCUCUCCUUCUCUGCCUUUCUUUAUGUUCAAGAUACAGUAUCAUCAGUGAUCCCAUCAGGAACCACGCGAUGAGAGCCCAAAUAUAUCCAUGAACGUUUUCCCCUCCAUAUCUGUCUCCCAUAUGUUUCAUUCCUGUGAAUACAGCUACGAUUCCAGCAACGAUGGCUGACCUGCCCACUAUAACGUGGAAAUACUCCCACAUAAGCCUCUUCUUAGUAACUACUUCUCCGUUACCAGGUUUUUUCGGCCUCAUGAAAGCAUUUACGGGCUGUGCGCACGCUAAAAAUAUAGCGGUAAGCCCAAAUUUAACGUGCAGUGAACUCACAUAUAGCCCUCGAAGCUCAGCUACCGCAAACAGAAAGCCGAGCAAGACAAUGGACAAACCUGAAUACUGCAAGUAUACAUGAAUUUGGUACCAGCCAUCACCUUUCAGAUGCUUUAAGUAUCUAGCGGAUAGAACACCUCCAGGAAGCAAAAUACCCCAAGCAAGGAACAUCAUAAAUCCAUGCACAGCCAAUACAGGUCGUAUAUCUUGCUCUGCUUCUGUAGAUCCACCCAUUAGCAACACGUUUACAGGCCUUUGACUGGUUGCUGAAUGCAUAUUUUUCUCGCUCAAAUGUUCAUCGGACCAACUAGCACCCAUUGCCCAUACAACUUUAAGAGGACUGGUUGGAUCAAUUAUAUUCUGGCACUCUAUAUUUCCUCUGUGAGGACAUGGAGGUUUCAGAAGCCUAGUGAACUCCAAGGUAAUGAUGCCAUUUUCAGAUUUGCACCUUACGUAAGUCAAAUUUUCAUUUGUUGGAUGCACGCUCAAGGCAUCCAUUCCAUCGAUCCAGUAUGUGUUUACAUGCCCUUUAGCUUCAUCAUCUAUCCAGCCCACAUAAGCAAAGCUGUUAACCAUCCCAGUACCAAAUCCUAUAGCAACGUAUCCACUCUUUUUCUCCCCUCGAGCUGCAACGGAUAAAGUCUCAUCUGACAAGGUCCAAAAGAAGGUUACUUGCUGAUCAUCCAAGAAAACACUGUUAUUGUACAUAUCAGAAAGACCCCCAUCGACAACUUGAACCCUCCAUCCCAUUUUCUGCUGAUACAAUGACUGAUAGUAUACUUGAUCCGGGGUAUUUCUGUCUGGUGCCCAAACUAAUUCCAUUGGAUCAGCUUGAACACCUUCUGCCUCGGGCCCCCCUGCAUAUAUGGUUUCUGUCUCAUUCCUCAAUGUGGCAUUCCCACCAAGCAAGUCUGAAGUUAUAUACAAUGCAACGUCAUGUCCAGCUUGCACAGAGAACGUCACUGGUACACCUCUCUCAACUCUCAAAACUGGUGCCUCCUUCUUGUUUAUGUAGAACACCUUAGAAGGGUUGGGAGAAUUAGGAUAAUGUAAAGCAGGCCCAGAAGUAACUACUAGAGGCACGUUUCCAUCAGCAAAGAUCAAAUCCUGAUCUUCCUUAUCUGCAGCAUCCAAUGGCCCUACACAAUCAUUCACAUGUUCGGAUACAUUAAGCAACAAAUGUCCAUAUGCCACAGCAGCUGGACCUCCGUGGUCAAGGGGUAGAUAGUAAGACAUAAAAGAAUCUGGUGGCCUCAGCAAGCCUACAGCCCAGAUUACGUUCAUUUUUUCUGUAUAAUUCACAGGCAAAUCAUAUUUCUUAUCUGCAGAAAUCAAUGGCCUCCUGUACCUGACAAAUGACACACCAUCUUUCCUGUGGCCAUAAAUGGUCUGAGUAUUGUUCACCAAGCCAACUGGAUCUGAUCCUUCAUAUAUCGCAUCAGGACACACCCCAGUAGCUGAACCGUCCUUGUCUAUAGUACAUUCAAUAUACUUUGUAAUGAAAAAAUCAUCAGCAAAAGGCCACCCUUCCUCACUGAAUCCAGCCACAGAUACAUCAGCACCAAUCAUUAGGUCAGAAUUUGACCCAUUGGCCCAUCCAAAAGCCAUAUAAUUCUGGAUCCCUAUGGCUGCUUCCAGUCCUAUGUCAACAAAAUCUUUGUUGGCGCUUAAACUCCAUCUUACUCUGUAGUCUUUAGACAAGACCUUACAAUUGUCAAACAUCGUAGGUGCUGUUAAAAUCUGACCUUUCUCUUUUCCUGGACUAGUGUUAUUCUCAGAUGGAGUUGGAGGCAAACCAGGGCUUAAUCUGGACUCCAGCGUGGAAUCAUUCUUGAGAAUAACGUGUCCAAAAUCAGAAGCUGAGGGAAUAUCCCACACAGAAAACACUUGAAUCUGUUCCCAGGUGACAUUUUUCCUCAGUUUAACAGCAAAAGAGGAAUUUUUAUACGUCUCAUUAAGCUUCUGGUCGGAGAUCACAAAACCCUUGGUCAUGUUAACAAAAUCCACAGCACUUGCUCCCCACCAGUGGACGUCCAAGCCAGAUAACAUGUCAAAUUGGGAGACAUUAAAUGAGCAGUCAUCAACAAUGGUCAUCACACCACGGAGUUGAUGCUGCACCAUGUAGAAUUGGGAUUCAAACCCAACGAAAGAGCUUGUUUUGGGACAAGACUGACCAGAAUCGGCAAGGCAACCAAGAAAGAGCAGACUAAUCAGAGACCUGCAGUAUAAUACUACACGUAAGAAACAGCUGGAGAUGUGCAAAUAAGUUAUGAGAAGCAGUUUACUGUCCGUGACAUAUCAAACUGCAAACUAUUAAAUGGUGUGCAACUAUUAGUGCACCGGUGAGAAGACCUAUCUAUCUACACACAUCAGAAUGCAUAUGUCUUGCAUCCAGCAUAGCAACGGAAGUGUGACAUUUUUUAUUACUGCAAGCAGAAGCAGAAAGGGAGACAAAGGAAGCCCAACCUUAUAAAUAGUUGAACAAACAAAGCCCUCCGACUUAGAUGGAAUGAAAAACCUUUUACAGACCGUCCUCCCCCUCUCCCUAAAUGAAAAGGUUCUGAAUUUACCCCUGAAAAAAGCAUGAGUGUUUGACCAUAUUAUGAGAACCUCGUCAACAAUAAACUUUGCAAGGUGGUUUCCAAGGAAAGGUUACCACGAUAUCUCUGUUGGUAGAACUUUAACCCAGUCUGGCUUCCUGAUGAUGAUUCUUCUUCACCAGCAAGAUCAUCAUCACCAAAAGACGCCAUCUGAGAACAUUCCAAGAGCAAAGUGCAAUCAUAAGACCCAGGCAGUACCAAAAUAUACCGCCAACUUAAAAUACAAGCAACCAGAAGUUACAGAAAUGUAGAAAAAUACAACGUAUCGUGCUUUCAUGAGCAAUAUACCAUAAUAAACAUAGCUGAAACUCUUUCUCUUUCAAUAAUGAAUGUGUAAAUUUUACAAAAACCGACCCAGUCUUCUAAGAUCACUCCCUGGCAACAGGAAAUGUUUAACCAGACACUUUUAUUAGCUCAAGAAAUGGUCGCAUGGCAGGCUCUGCCUUUAACAGUCGAAUUGCUGAUUUAGCAUUGAACUUGCCAAAUCCAGUUGGUAAAAGAAACCCGAGCUUAGAAAUUGAUGCAAGUUCACAAUUCUACUAAGAUGGCCAGCAUUAGAAACCAUUCAUCCGAAGUAACUUCCUUAAUGCCAGCAGUUAGCAAGAAAUUAUUAUCAGGUCUGGUAGUAAGAUAUACGAGGAACAGUUAAAAACAAAGGGAAGAAAACUAACCGCAGAUAGCUGGUCUAUGCUUUUAAUGUUCUCCUCCAACUUCCCAGGCAUUCUUGAGAUAUCACGAGACACAACAUCUGAUCUAUUUAUGCUACAGAGCACCUUGUCCUCUGAUCUAGCUUGAAGCCUUGCAUCCAAGCUACUCAUUACCUGAAAAUAAAAGCAUAGGGGUAAGCCAGCUUUAAUUGUAAUAAUUAGAAAUAACUUGUGAGAUCUAACAGGUAAAGGAUGACAGUACUGGACCACAGACAUAGCAAGUUAAUCACUCGGCGUCCUACCUCAACCCCAACCCCCCCAACUCAACAAGUAUUGUCAUUCCAGAUAAAAUGCAGCCAAAUUCACUUUACAAUUUUUGGGAUUACUAAAUCAAUCAAUCACAGGCUAGCAACAUGAUCUGUAAUUUAAGGCAAAGAGAAACAAACGUUCACUAAGCUGCUCGCCUCUUCCAUGUAAAAAUCAUAACUUCAGCUAUGAAGAUACUAAUAGCCAAAGUUCAAUUAAUUCACUACCAAACUGGACAGGCAAACGGGAUGAUGAUACGCGCACCAACAAAGAAAGCUAAUAAGAAGAACUGAAAUAAGGCGGUAUUUCCCAAACAAAACUAUCUACAACCAUUCUAACCUCGAAUUACUUUUCAACACAUGAUCGGGAAACACGUAAUGAUCGAUUCAUCAAAAGCCCAGAACAGCCAAUGCCAAAGAGAAAAGGCCAUUCAAGCAAGAGGCACGAACUCUACCAGGUCAUAAAAUCACGCUACGUUUCGAAAUAGGAGGAGAAAAAAGCGGACAAUUGAAAUGCAGGUGAAGAUGGAACAAUUGCUUCAGAUAAAGCGGACAUUUCACCUUAGCAGCUAUGGCGAAUCGGUAGUAGAAAAGGAGAGAGCAACUGUUUCAACGAAAUAUGGUGGAUUGAAAAGGGAAAGAAACCAGAGAGAAGAAGAAAUGAAGAAUUUACCGAAGGGGAGGCGGAGAUCGCCGGAUCUGGGGGGGUUCCAAUUCAGUGGAAUAUUUUCUUUUCUGCCUGCACCCCCAAAACUCGAGAUCACAAUUUCGUUUUAUUUUCUUUUUUCUAUUUUAUUUCGUUGUUCGGUUAGAUCUUUGGACGCUGAAGACGGGUGUAGGACUCAGAUUCUUGAUGGCAUCAAACAAUACCUGAUCCGUUGGAUCUAGUCACUUUAAUCGAAGGAAUCAUAUCACAGGGAUAAAAUAGGAAUUAACAUUGUUUUGACCGCUUAAGCCCACCAUCGGUCAUUGACCAGCCAUCGCUGACCAAAACCAGCCGCUGGCCACAAGCACUGCCCUUGAAGCUCGACCACUUCCGUUGUCGUCGGCGACCACCUUCACCACCUCCGCAGAUGACCACCCCCGCCUACCGUGUAGGUAUUUGGGCUUUGUACGCGCUUACCAAGUUUAUGUAUACGACUACGAGGACAUGUACACAGGAACAAAAAUGUGUAUCGUCUACAAAAAGUGAGUACAUUUAAAGUUACAAAAUUAAAGGGAAGUCAAUCACCGGCAAUCAGACUUUAAUUUGCAUUGCCCUCAUUUACAUGAGCUAGUGUGUACAGAGUGUGUGUAUAGAGCGUGUGUACAGAGACAUGUACGUGUAUAUAAAAAGUAUACUAUCUAAAACAAAGAGAGUACAUGUACAAACUAGUAGAAAAGGGACUUUGCCGCCCUUAUAUAUGCAUCGCACGAAAUGACAGAGGAACUGUGCGCAUGAACGAAGUAUUAUACACAAGUAUGAAAAGUUUAGUUCAGAUCAGCUGUGACAUUUAUGACAUAGUACUCGGCUAGGACAUCCUCAUCAGUGUCAUUUAUUAAACAUGUUUCACAAACAAUUUAUUUCCUGCUGCUAAUAGUGUAUUGAGGCUAAGGCAGUAGCCCUCCCAUUUUACACAAAUUCUACCGAGGUGAAAUAAUCAUUUGCUCUUAUAUUCACACUUAUGUAUGGGGUCCUAGCAGUGCUUGCUCUCGUUUUGGCUAUUGAUACUUUGUGCUAUUCAUCGAUCAUCAUAUAAGAUAUUCAUGGGUCUACUUCUUACACCUCAACUCUAAAGACAUGCAAGUCCUCAAGGAUUUUGUCACUAUGAUUCAAGCUCAUUGAACAUUGGGUUAAAAAGUCUGAUCACGAACUCGUGGUGGAGAGUUCAUGUAUAUAUAUCACGUUUUGCACGAUUAUGUUUUUUUUCCGUGAAACCAUUUUUUCCAUUAUGAUAUACCAAUCCUCCUAGUUCCUCCCCGUCUCUACUGUCCUGCCUCACUACCAGAACUUCGAUAAUGACCCUCCACGGCCACCUCAUUCCCCGACCCUGCGCCUCCUCCCUAACGGUGAUCGAUAGCAAUAUGUUUGUCUUGACAUCAAGUAAUUUAUCUGCUUUCUACAUUCUUAUGUAGAUCUGUUUCACUCUCUAUAAAAGAAUGUUUCUUUUCGUGUUCUUUCUAUAAACAUAUAUAUAUAUGGAGAUAAUAGAGAGUGAAGGUGAUAUGGUGGGUUUAUUCUCUUAUUCUCGGGUGUGUGGUGUAAUAAAUAGAAAAAUAUCAUAAAUACAUUCGGUCAGUGUCGCUAUUUAAUUGGCUCUCGUCACAUGGGCCAAUGGGGAUGAAUCAAUGGAGGCCUCAUGGGCCGAAUUGAAUGAAUAAAAGACUCCCAUCUACCCUUACCUUCCUUCUCUCUCUCUCUCUCUCUGUUUCUCCUUCUCCUUCUUCUUCUUCUUCUUCUAACUUAAAACACCAACAGCUCAGUCGGUGCAAGCUCACCCCUUUUCUUUCGAGGAAAACAUGAUCUCCGCCGGAUACUGUAGGGAAUGCAAAUCGAUUUUGGGGGAAAUCUGAACCCACACGAUCUCUGUACUGCACAGCUGGGGGGGGGGAAGGUUUUUAUUUUUUACCAUUAUUUAUGUGGGUUGGUGAGGCGAAAUGGCGUCGUUUCGACCCACUAGGAGGAGGCAGCUCGAGAGAUGGUUGGUUUUCUCAGUUCUGAUAUUACAACAACUAGUAUGGGUUUUCACUUCCAGCGGCGGCACAGGAGCCGCCAUCCGGAUUCCCCCCCAACAACACGGUGGCCUUGCGCCUCCACCAAACUUGCCUCCGUCAAGUUCGCCACUGUCGGCCGGACUUUCCCCUGAAGAAGAUGGUAGUAGUUUUGGCAACGAGAAACAACGCAAACGGAGCUACACGGAGCAUUUCCGUCGGUAUUUCGAUGAACAAACGUCGACAAUGAUCGGUCCGAGUAGUUCAGGCGGAGGAGGAGGAUUCGAAGAGAGCAAAAGAAAAGUGCCCAGCUGCCCUGAUCCUCUCCACAACUAAAAUAAUGAAGAAAGUUUGCUUCUUUUCACUUAUUGCUGCUUGCUGGGUAUCAAAUCUUGUGCAAUAUCAUCCAAAAUACCCACGUUUUUCUCAUCAUGGUCAAUUGAUCAUUCCCCUUUUUGCUUCAAUCAUGUAAUUGAUGAGGGGAAAACGAUGGUAUUUUGGUAGUUUUGGAUCCGAUCCGAUCUCUCUCUUUUUGUUGUUGAAGAACUUAGAACAUCAUCAUUGUUGUUGGUUGGAUCAGGAGAUUAAUGGAGGAUCAUCAUUAUCAUCAUGAUUGUACAGAGGUUUUUACAAUCUUUAUAUUAUUAUUUAUCAUUAUUAAGGCACGAUCAAUUGUUAGUCAAAUCAGUUACUCUGCAGUCUAUGAAUCAAUGGUCUCUGUUUGAAAUGUAAAAUAAUCAGAAGGAAAUGAAGUGACAAUGGAGUGAAGUAAAAAGCUGCUGCUACAGUUUUUUUUUUGUAGUAAAAUAUGGGGAUGACUUUAGAAAGUGGGGCAGGAAAAGAAUGCAAAAUUAGGGUAAAUUUGGUAUGGGAUUUGGGUUUUGCUUCAUUUGGUAAAAAGAUGAGAUCUUUGCUUUUCGAUCUUACUGUGACAAGAGGGAAAUUUUAGAAGCCUCUGUUGACUGUUGUGUUGGUGAUAUACACGUUACUAUCUACCCCAUCACUCUUCUCGUUACUGUUUCACUAGCUUCCUACCAUCCGUCAGUAUGAAAAGGCUAUUCCUUUUUAAUGUAUAUAUCCUAUUAUUUACUCCAUCUGAAAAUGCAGAAUUUAGUCGUUACUCUUUGCCAUAAAGUUGUGUUUAUUUAUUUAUUCUGGAAGAUAAAAGCAAUGUAUUAGCCAUUAGGUGCAUGACUGCAUCUGCAUGUCAAUGGUCAACGGAAAAGUAUGAGCUGGGUUGAAACUUGAAACACCAUAUCCAAAAUUACUAAACUACUAAUAAAUAAAAGGUGGAGUGGCUGAAGGACAUCACAUGAGAGUAAACACUAUGUACAAAGAAGAGCCACAAAGGUCCAGAACAAAAACCAAGGAUGAGAUUUUGCAAACGUAAUUAUGAGCACGGAAAUGUUGUGUUUGGAGAUUAAUUAAUUGGGAUUAAAGUGGAAAGGAGUUGAAUGCUAGGUGAAGAAAGAUUGAAUUGAUAGAGAAAAAAACAAGUUGUUGGUUUGUGUACAUGACCAAAAAGGUUUAGAACUAACCAAAAGGGUUGCAGUUAAGUAUUUUGUCCUGUGAUUGCAGACGGUGACAAAUUUGGUUUAGAUUAAUAAUAAUAAUAAUAAUAAUUUGCAGUGCAGUGAAAAAGAGGUGGCCAGGGUGGAAGCAGAGAAAACAGAGUUUAAAAAUUAUAGUGAUCUUGUUGUCUUCCUCUUGUUCUCUAGCAAACGGUUUUGUUCUCUUGUCUUUUGUCCUCUGUAUAUAUAUAUAUUAAUCCCAUAUAUUGAUAUGUUGUUAAAUAAUAAUGAAUAAUAAAGCCAAAAGAGGUGCUUUGUAUUCUUUUGCAUGAAGAAACGGGAAAGAGGCAGCCGGCAGUCUGGCUGUUUUCUGUAUUGGUAGUUGUCUCGUUGGAAAUUAUUGGUUUAUGCAUUUGAAUUCCAAUUUGUAAAAAUCAUAGCUUUAAAUGUUCUUCCUAAACUGCAUUAUACUCUACGACACUCAGACCUACUUCUUUUAGGAAUUUAAACGGCGAGGCCUACAGUUUGACUUCACAGUCAUCAUUUGUAGGCUAUUUUACAUUUCAUAGUCGUCAACCGAACUUCGAGAACCCAAUUGAAUGUAAAUUCUCGAUUUAUUUUUAAUGAAUUUAUAUUUUAUUCAAGGUAGAAUACAAUACAUCAAGAUCUGAAGCGAAGAACACGGUUUAUAAAUUUAAAAAUAAAAAUGGACCCGAAAACUUCAUAAUGUUUCGGGUUAUUGUUAAGGAAAUUGUUGAACUGAUCGAUCCAUAACAAAUCUGAACUUUAAGCGGGGCAGUUUUCUCCAAACAACAUCAUGGAAGAAGUCCAAAUCCCUGAACUUUUACUCUGUCAAAGUAGCCCUAAGGGGAACAAAUUGUCUCAGGGGCGGGAGUUCUCAGGUGGGGUGGAGGUUCUCAGGCGGUUCAAGAAGUGCAACCACUCCAACAGAACUACACCUCUGAAAGAAUUAGAGGGAGAGUAUUUCAACCUAUUUAUCAGUUCACUUGCAAGCGAAAAUGUAAAAUGAAAUUUGGAUGAGAAUAAAAAAGAAAGUGCUCAAAAUUUUAUUUUACGUCCCCACGGCCAAACGAACCACAGAAGUCGACAAUUAUGUAUGUAUUCCUUUUUCAAAUAGACAUAUAAAUGAAUUUGUCUUGAAAGCAUACUUAGAUAUAAUUUUUUAUCCAAAUGGUUCUAACCCAACUAGUUAAGGCUUGAUUAGUAUAGUUAUAGAUAUUUAAAAAAAGUAAAGUUGGAAAAGACAAAAAAUAAAUUUGGGAUCAAAUUAAAGUGGGUUUCUUGCUCUCUUAUUUAAGAGUUAGCUUAGAGACAUAGANNNNNNNNNNNNNNNNNNNNNNNUUAGACUAAAUAAAAAACAGACUCACCCUGUAAUAAAAUUAGACAAUGCUAUCAAGUUCGAACUGAAGAAUAAAAUAAUAGAUUCCUUGGAGUAGAAGAAUAUUUCAAUAAUUUUAAAUGGAGCUCAGAUAUGAACAAAUUGGCAUUACCGGAUCGGUGGGGUUCUCCUUAAGAAAAAGGUUUAUACACCAAACUCUGUGCCCCCAAAUUGCAAGAAAAUAUCGGAAGAGAUGCAAAAACCCAAUACAGAUAAAGCCACUCGCCAGCCCAUCAGUUGUUUCCUUUCCAAAUAACCCCACCAUUUUAUGCAUAUCCCUACAGUAAAAUGCACUAUAGUUUUUAAUAAUUGUAUUAUUUAUUAUUAUAGUUUAGGUUUUACGGUGCGUACUACUAUAAUUUAUUUAGCGAUACGUACGUGCUCGAUAGCAGGUUCCCGAUAAAAUAAUAGGUAAUUGUCCUACAUGGACGUCAUAUCAAUGAACCGUGUACGUGGCCCUAUAUAUUAAAAAUUUUGACCCACAACGAACUCCUUUCCGCUUCUUCAUUAUUCAUUAAUCUUCAACUGGAGAUUUCCGAUCAACCUCUGCCUCGGUCAUCUUGUAACCCACGUCAAGGUUACUCCAUCCAUGACCAUUGAUUCUAUCACCAUAGAAAGGAAAGAAUUAGACAAAGGACUAAGUUUAAAACAGAUAGAAAAAAAACAGAGAUGCCGAAAGGACUGAGUUUGAAACAGAGGAAGGAAAAAAUGUAGAGAGUAGCGUUUGGUCAUUGGUGAGUUGCGGAUGAAAUAUUGAAACAUUAAUUAUGUAACAAGGGGAAGAAGAGAAGAGAAUACAAGUGGACGGUGGAGAUGGAGGGAGUGGGGAAGAGGGUGAGAGUACUACAAAACCACAAAACCCUGGAGCAUUAAAGUUUUUUUAGAAUAUUAAGGAAGAAGCUAAAAAGAGUUUGUUGUGGUCAAAAUUUUUAAUAUAUGGCCCCACAUAUUGGCAUUGAUAUGGUGUGUAUGUAGAACAAUUACCUGUUAUUUUAUCGGAAACCAACUAUUGGAUACUAUAUGCAUUGCUAAGUAAACUAUAGUAAUACGCAGUACAAAAUCUAAACUAUAAUAGCAUAUGAUGUAAUUACUAAAAAUUAUAGUGGCAUGGUCCGAAUUUUACACUAUAUCCUGAAAUGUGCUUGCAGGUCCAAAUAUUCUGAAAAUGAUUAUUCAACCAAAACUAUUCAUUUUGAAAUUCUAAUUUAUUUGACACCAAACGGUAUGUAAAUGUGUCUUUGAUAACUUCGUACAGUAGAAGGAUGUAAAUGUAUAUUAACAAAAAAAAAAUCAGCUACAUAGCUUUGUUUUUUGGACGAAUGCAUUAUGCAUAAAUAGCUGUUAUAGUUUCUGUACUCUGUUGCCAGAGCAAAAUUGAAAGCAAGAACUGAUACUCGUCCCUUUUUUCUUUGUAUAGUCUGUCUUCAUUGAUGAAGAAAGGCCAUGCUGGCUCACAUUUCCGAUACCUCUAUCUUUUUAAAACACAUUGCAAUCAAUAAGUCAAUAACCUGUAAAAAGAAGCCAUUGUUUCUUAGCACCAUCGUUGCUGUUGCUUAACAUUUCACUGAAUAAAAAUGUUGACGUUACUUGAUCCCAAAGCUGACAUCUCCUUCAAAGCAAGGGAAAGAACUGAUUCCUUCCAAGGAAAAGUGGAAAAUAAUUCAAAGGCCAAAAGCAAAGUAUGAACAUAAUGAGAAGCCUUUCACACGGUAGUAAAUUUCACAGUUUACUUCUACAGCUGAAUACCAUUACUGCUUCCCCAAUCCACAAUAUAUGCAUAUAUAAUCACGAACAAAACACGACCUAUCGAUAAAAUUAAGUCUAGAGUAGUAUGACCAACAAACUUGCAGUACCCGGAAGGAAAAUUUUACCAAGCAAUUGUGCUCUACUGAUCUUGAAUCUACGCAUACCCAGCCAUCCCAACGGUGGAACUCGAGCGAUUCGUCUUGUUAGAAGCAUGGCCUGAGGUGGCCUUUGAGAAAUACAUGUAAUAAUAGACGUUGAGGAUCAUUGUGGCAACCACAAACACUGCUCCAGCUAUGAAAACGCCUUUCCUCAACGAUUCACACGAGAAGUUUUGAGCUAAGAUCAUUCCACGAUACUUUGUGUGAUAUGCGUUUUUCGUUGCACCUGCAAUUAGACAGGCUUCCGCAACGAGAAAAGUCAACCUGCAGAACGAAAUACCAUAAUCAGUGCCCUAUGAUUUGACCUCCAUCUUAGCAGCUGUUAUCUUGGCACAAUUCUUUUGCAACAACUUAAAAGUAGGAUCCAAAAGUGAUGUUGAUCUAAACACACCUUAAUAUGUAAAAUGAAACACUAAUGAAUUAAUAUCCGUAUUAGUUCGGGAUUUCCACCAAACAAGAAAUAAGAAAACAUCCAUAGAUAAGGAGAGUUCGUACCAUGAAGAGAUAAAGUAUAUGAUUGACCAUGCUCGAUCACCACCGGGAGUAAGUGGUCUACCGAAGCACAUGCAUUUUGUUACACCCAUAAGCAGUGAUUCACUGGAAAGAAGAAACAAGAAACCACCUACUCCAUAGCCUGUUGCAACAUCAGAGUUGUAGACACAGUAUGUCCGAUUAGUAACAUCAAUCUCUGUAUGUCCCUGCCAUACAAAGGAAAAGAGUUAGACUGGCACCGAGGAACCAAUUAAUGGACCAGCGCACAUAAUUUAUCGUCAAUUAUGGAAGCAGUAUGGGCAGCUAAAAAUAAGACAGAUACCACAAGAACAUGAUAAAUGUUAACUCAGUGUCUAAGUCAAGAGGAUAAACUGUAAAAGAGGUUUGCUGCUGACGUCCUUCAUAUAACAAACCAAACGUCAUCACAGAAAUAUGAAAUUUUGCCUCGAACAAACUACAAAGUAAUUAAAUAAGCAUAUUGUGCUAAUGGAAGUUAUUGCGAAACGUGAACUGAACCAUAGCUUAAACUGCAUGCUAUGGUAUGAAGCCAACUCCUAGAGUCUUUUAUUGAAAACUGCAGAACACCAUUCAACCAGGACACGCAUUUUUUAUUUUUAGAUAUCAUAGGCCUGUGGUGGGGAUACAAUACAGUAAUGCAGCAGCGACUAGAAUAAGAUAAUACACCGUCUGCAAAUGGUCCAAGCUCUGCACUAGAUAUUUUCAGUAUAUCGAUUGUUAAACUUAGACUACAUUUGUAUCAAUUAUCAAGCAACAGAGCAAAAAUGUGCAAGAGGUACAGGGAUACAGUCAUACACAGGGAAUUAGUUAGCCAUUCUUAACGGCGCUUCAGCAAUUCAGGAGACAGAAAAAAGGAGUAAUAGAAUAGUCAUGUACAUACGAGAUAUGUUCAGAAAAUACUUGUUAACUAGAAAGGAAAGUAAUCAAAUCUAAGUCUACUCCAAUCAAGAUUUUACUUCAGUUGAAAUAUGCAAUGUUAACAAAAAGUGCGUGGGAGUUCAAGUUCAUAACACAAAACUACAAAGCCAUCAAUUUGCACCCAAGCAUAUCCAUCCCUGAUGCCCGUUUUACCUGCAUCUACACUUAACUGGAUUAUCCAAGUAAAGCCAUUAGAAACCCCUACGCAUAUACAUCGAAUUCACACCACCAAUAUGCAGUUCGAGUUCAGCUAAACCAAGCUCAUGAUAAAUCUACCCAAACAUCCAAACAAUCACAAGUUGAGGACAACUCCUAGAAACAAGCAGAUCUUAAACUCUUGUUACCGAAAACCCUAAUUAUCCAAAAACAACACAAUUACUUAAAAAUACAGGAAAAAAGGAGAGAUAGAGAAAUGUGAGAACAGAACAGGAAGUAGGGAAUUCAGUAAGGAAAUAGAGAAAAAGGAAAGCAAAGAGGCAUACAACACUCCGUCGUCUCUCGGCAGCAACUGCAAAGCCGAAAGCAACGAGGCUGAGAAGCACCACCAAAAGGUGAACCAAAGUGGAGCCUCUGCCUUCGCCCAUCUCCUCCCUCAAGAUCUCUGCUUUUCAAUUACCCUUCUGUUCCAGCUAGAGACGAAAGGUUUCCUUGUAGUUAUGAAUUGCAACUUGUUGUUUGUUUCUGAGUGAGACUGAGAAGAGGGAAGCAUGUGAAAGCAGUUGAAAAAGUAGUGUAAAAAGUGUGAACUGUGGAAGGGGGAAAGGACUGUUGGUCUCUGUUCACAGUGGAGAGUGGGAAAUGUGAAACGAAAUAAUCGAAUCUGCUAAUCGGGAAAAAGGAGUUGAAAAUAAAAUAAAAAUGUCUCUUGGGAAAAGGAAAUAAUAAAGAAAGGAAGAGAGUUUGUUUGACCCACGUGGAUGACGUUGUGUUUGUAGGACACGCAAAUGCCAAGCCAGAGAGCAGCAACAGUCACCCACGAGUGUGGAUUGCCAGGCCGUCAAUCUGGCGCGUUGCGGAUUUGGCGCUGCUUUUCGGAUCAAUGUUUAGAAUUACGGUCGUAACUAUUAAAGAUAGAUAAUAAAAGAGUCAUGUCAUUAUAGUCACAUGAAAGCACAGGGAUCAGUACCACUUUCAGUUUGAAGCUGAUCGUCCCACAUAUCAGUGUCCAGUACCACUUUCAAACCAAAGCAUUCAGCAAUCACAAAAGUCCAAUAGCAGUAUGAUCUCAACGAGAGGUCCCUUGAUUGUUUGUUUGUGAUUCUGCUUCUAUUCACUUGACCUCCCCAUCAAUUAAGUAAUUCAUGUAUUGCUUGCCUAAUUACUUGGACUGUAUAUAUGCUUCCUCUCACCGGUUGUUCAAACCAUGCUCCACCUACUUGUACGCCUUAUGGGUGCGGUGUGAUUCAUGGUGAUUCGGAGAAGGUGGUUUUGCAGGGAAUUGUCGAACAUAUCGAGGAGUUCUUUUUAUCUCUAUGUUAUGGGAUUUCUAACCGUUCGAAACACGUGGGAUUGAUGUUUUCGGUAGGGCAUCUGGCAGAUGGACAUUGAAGGUAAUGCAAAAUUUGUCCUUUCUAACUUGUUGAUCAAGAAUACCCGGUAUCUCUGAGAUGCAAUUGUCGCUGAGAUUCUUAACUUCUUGACUGUUUGUCCUCGACUUCAAGUGCAAGUUAUCUGGCAUGAUGCCAACGAGCAUUUCGUGACAUGAAAAGUUCUUUCAUGUCUCCCAAAUCGUAUUGAAAUCCAUCUCAUGGUUUAAACAAAUCUCUAGUUUAUUUUUCUCCUCUAUCUUGUUUAUUUAGGAGUUAUCUAUGAUUAAAAAAUAUGAGCCAAAUUAUCACACGAUUGUUAAGAAUAUAAGGUCCCUUCUAGUUUCCAAACAAUAUCAUAUCAUGGUACGUAAAAAAAUAUCAAACCAAAGUACGUAAGAUUGUUUAAGUUGAACGGAUUGCCACGUUUUACGAACAAAAUCCUUUGUAUCCAAUUCCAUCCCAAAUUAAAAAUUUAUUUUUAAUAUGACCUAACAAUCUAUUUAACCUUUAAAACUUUAUCGUAAAUCCAUCAUAAAUAUACCUAAAACCCCCUUCAAAAGCAAGGUUAUCUCAUAUGUAUGCGGACAUCACAAAUCUCGAAACCCAUAAAAACCUUCUUAUUAUUUNNNNNNNNNNNNNNNNNNNNNNNNNNNNNNNNNNNNNNNNNNNNNNNNNNNNNNNNNNNNNNNNNNNNNNNNNNNNNNNNNNNNNNNNNNNNNNNNNNNNNNNNNNNNNNNNNNNNNNNNNNNNNNNNNNNNNNNNNNNNNNNNNNNNNNNNNNNNNNNNNNNNNNNNNNNNNNNNNNNNNNNNNNNNNNNNNNNNNNNNNNNNNNNNNNNNNNNNNNNNNNNNNNNNNNNNNNNNNNNNNNNNNNNNNNNNNNNNNNNNNNNNNNNNNNNNNNNNNNNNNNNNNNNNNNNNNNNNNNNNNNNNNNNNNNNNNNNNNNNNNNNNNNNNNNNNNNNNNNNNNNNNNNNNNNNNNNNNNNNNNNNNNNNNNNNNNNNNNNNNNNNNNNNNNNNNNNNNNNNNNNNNNNNNNNNNNNNNNNNNNNNNNNNNNNNNNNNNNNNNNNNNNNNNNNNNNNNNNNNNNNNNNNNNNNNNNNNNNNNNNNNNNNNNNNNNNNNNNNNNNNNNNNNNNNNNNNNNNCAAAAAUAUGUAAAUUUUAUAUAGGAAUUCAACUCUCGAGAACGAGAAACCCUGCCCGGCCCCGUUCCACCAUUGCAUUUCAUAGUACAUAAAAUCACUAAGAUGGACAGAAAACCAUUUCUUAAUAUUUAAUAAUUAUAUAAGCUGAUUAAGAUACAUGAUUCAGCUACUCCAUCAACAUUGAAUAAGAAUGUUGAUUUGAUAUUUUUUAAAACGUUAUAUGCCGUUGAAAAUUAGGGUACCAAUGUAAAUUCCCGCCAUACAUGAUUAUUCUUUUUAAAUUUAUUAUCCACUUAUGUGUUUUCACCAAAAAAUCAGUGCGAAAAAAAGCUUUAAUUAUUAUUUAAAAUUUGACAAGGUCUAAUUUUUUUAUUAAUUAUUAACACAGUUCGUGAUUCAAUUUUUUUUUGGUUUAAAAUCAGUUCAUGAUGUAAUUGAAUCCGUUUUAUGGGGGUUCCUAACUCCUAAAUCUACCUGGGCAAAACUGAAAAUAAAAUAACAAACCAAAUAGUGGGCCGGGCACCAUCUAUAUAUACUUGUGGUAUGCAGCAGCUGAGCCGGGUCAUUACGCAAAAGGUCCCAACUCACACACCUUUUCUCCUCUCUUCGAUCGCAAUUCCCUCAAAGCAAAAUCAAUCCCCCCCAACCACCGCAUCUCUCCCCGGAACUCCGUCAGUCCUUCCACCGCCGGCUUAAACCAGGUCAGUGAGUCUCUUCUUUAAAUUUGUUUCAACACCCCGCCACCCCGACCUUAAUUUUAGUCGUCCGUUUUCAUUUUCUUCUUUCUCCAACAACCGAAGUUCAACCGAAAUUCCCAACCCCCGUCGUCAUUAAAUUUCGCUGUGCUGCUAAUUGUAAUUCGGAUAUGGCGUGGGAAGGACACGAUCAAGGAAGUACGCCGCCGUCGUACUCCUUCUUUCCCGACUGAGUAACCGUCGCGCCGCUUUCCGAAAUUGGGCCCUGGUAUGGCCAUCUGGGCCGGGCCAUCAUUUUACAAAAGAAGUAGAAUUUUGAUAUUUUGAUAUCCAAAAAUAGGCAUUGACGCAGGUAUUAAUGAUGAAUAAAUAAUUGCCACCUAAGCUGACGUGUACAUAGUACCUAUCUCUUUGCUUAAGCUUAUCGUCUACCUCUUCCUAACUUGAAGCAUGAUUCAAAUCAUUUUUUCUAUGUCUAGAAGGCUGCAAAUCCAAUCAACAAAAUGGCCGCUUCUAGCACGACCGACGACAAGCAACCAAGUGGUAAGGAUCAUCAUAUGAUUUACACAGAAAUUAUAUGUAUUCAAAUGUUGGGCACGUGUACGUGUAACAAAUUAAAAUUGUGUGUUACGUUUGGCCACAAUUUUAGGUCGUCAGGCAAGUGAGCAUAACGUGCUGCAGAAGCAUGCUAUGUUCUUCGACAGGAAUAAAGAUGGCGUCAUAUAUCCUUGGGAGACCUUCCAAGGCAAGUCCAUUCCCGUACGCUUUGCAAAGCAUAGUAUAGAUUCUGAAUAUGUAUCAUACAUGUUCAUAAUUAUUUGCUUUAUCAUCAUAAAUUUACAGGUCUUCGGGCAAUCGGGGCAGGCAUUCUAUUAUCGGCAGGAGGCGCGAUCUUCAUCAACCUUGGCCUCAGCGGAAAGACCCGACCCGUAAGUAGUCUGCUCGUGAACACAUGAAUACACAUGCAGAAACAAACAAGAGUACUUGUUUGAAUCAAUUCCCAUUAAACUAAACUGCUUUCUAUAGGGGACGUGUAGUUUACAAGGUUGACAGAUAGAAGAUGAAGCUUUUAGGUAGAAUAAUGGCACUUUUUACUGAAACCAACUCUUUACAGUUGGACAUUAAUUCAACUUUCGCAUUAUUUAAGAAUACAAACCACAGAAGAAUUAUAUUUACUUUAAUUUAGGGCUAGUAUACGUACUUUAGCGAUCUGUUUGGAUUUUGGAAUAUAAAAUGAAUGGUCUAAUGGUUUUCUGACUUUCUCAUAUAAACGAAGAGGUUAUUUUAAUGGUUAAUAAAUUAUUGGUCACUGAAUUUUGAACGUUUCACUCACUAGUCAUUAUACUUACCGAUCGUUUAGAUGAAUGAUUUGAAAUAGUUAGAGAUUUGAAAUGAACGAGGAUUAGGUGAAGCUUGUUAUUUUCAAAAUAAAUUAUUUGAAUUGAUGAUUUAUGAGCAAUUUUGAGUUUACUUAUUACGGAGAAAAAAAUAAAAGAAAAAUAAUAAUAUCUUCAAUAAAAAAAACAAAGAAUAAUUUUGAUUAAAAUUCUCAAAUCUCCUUUUUAUCUUUUAAAAUUUCUACCUCCUCUUGGUGAUUUAAAAUAUUCGCUUCGGGCUUAUAAAGUUAUUUCAAAUCUCCUCAAAUAUUUUCUUUUUUAGUGUCCAAACGAGUGAUUUAGAACCAAAUAUCUUCAAAAGUUUAAAUCACUCCAAAUCAUCUAUCCAAAUUACUCAUCCAAAUAAUCAGUUAAAAAAACUAACCGAACAAUGAUUGAAUUAUCAAGUUCUGAUCCAAGAUUACUUCCAGCAAUUCAAUUUUCCAUCCAAAAUCCGAACAAUGAUGAGGAGUUUGUAGAGCAGUAGAGGUGAGUCUGUGGUGUUUGGGGUUAGGGUGGAGAGCGUAGGGGAUUUUGCUUCAGCCACAAGAAAAUGACUUGACAAAAGAGAAUUAGGCAUUGAUGCCUUAUUUUGGUAUCAUUUCUCUGUUUCAAAUGAUUGAACUUCAAUUUCACGUCAUUUUGCUUCAGUUUAUAUUGCUUUUGCAUCAAUCCAGACCGAUAUUUGAUCAUGCGAUAUCAGAAAUUGAACGUACAUAACAUGACUUCAUGUACUGAAAUACUGGGAAACCUUUUUUGUUAUAGCUAGCGUACACGCAUCUCUAGUUUGGUUCUCUAAUAUCAGCUGAUCAACGUGCUUUGGAUUAUUAAUUACUGUUAGCUACAAUCUGAUCGGAUGAUUCAAUCGGGCUUAAAAAUAUUCGGUAAAAAAAAAGAUAAUAAGACAUAUUCAUGUUGAGCGAAUAAAGUGGUCGAUUAAUUUAUAUACUUGUGCUCCACUUAGCUAAUAUUAUUUUAUAAAUACUAUCACUUUACUGAAUGCAGGGAAAGUUUCCGUCUCCUUUGUUCCCAAUUGAAAUUAAGAAUAUUCAAAGAGGUAAACAUGGGAGUGACUCUGGUGCUUAUGACUCCGAGGGAAGGUACGGUACCACACAUCGUUUCAUUUGUCAUCUAUUUACCAUGCUACUUUCAAAUGCAUGUAGAUGUGCGCUAUGAACUUGUGCACGCAUUUCCUAAUAGGUUUGUUCCGGAAAAGUUUGAAGAGAUUUUUGCCAAGCAUGCUAAGACGAAUCGACAUGCCUUAACUUCAGAGGAACUCGGGGAGAUGUUGAAGCAUAAUCGAGAACCCAAAAACUAUGGAGGAUGGUAAGUUCAAUCUCUCGUGUACUGAACAACAAUGCAUGAUCAAUGAUAUGUAUAUAGGGUAAAGAGUCACGUAAAUCGGGUUGGAAAUGCAGGUUGGCCAGUUAUUCAGAAUGGAAAAUACUAUUCAAGUUGGGAAAGGACAAGAAUGGACUGCUGCAGAAAGAUACGGUUCAAGCCGUUUAUGACGGAAGCCUCUUUGAACGUAUGGAGAAUGAGAGGGCAUUAUCAAAGAAACCCUAAGCACUGCCAUGGUUAUGGUUAAGAAUUACAAGUAUUUGCCAAGAAUGGAAAAAAGCAUGAGUGAGCCUGAGAGUGUGGUUAUUAUUCAAUAUGAAUUUGUUGUGUUUCAUUCAUAAAAAUAAAAAUAAUGUAUUUAAUUUGUUGUGUGGUUAUGUUGAUGAAAUAAAAGAGAGAACUUCUUGUUAUUUUCAUAGUCCGCCAAACCCAGCAGCCAGCCAGCUCUCAAUGCCAUAGAGAGAGAGAGAGAGAGAGCUUUAUUAAAAUUGCCUUGCCACAGAUUUCAUUUCAAUGCAAGGAUAAUAAGAAUAACUCAAGGUGUUUCUGUACACAGGAUGUCUGCUGUCCUGGCUAAAAUUGUCCCAAACAUUAUAGUAAAAAUAGUCAUCCUCGAUGCUUCUAAAUUAAAUUCCUUUUGAGUUUCUGCUGCCUCUAACGGUAUACAGGGAGCUCAAUCCUUGGCUUUUCGUCUAAUCCUCCCAAAAGAGGAACCAAGGUGCUUGAGGAUCCUUCUCUACCAUCAUUUCCCAUCUUCAAGAAAUAGCUGUGCCUGCAUUUCACACACCACACAUUCAAAAAACAUAAGCUCCCAUUGAGAACAUGAAAAGGAAGCGCCUUUUUGAAUACCGACCAUCGAGUAUCUGCAGUAAGCUCAGGGUGGAAGGCAGUCCCCAGGAUAUUCCCCUGCUUCACGGCCACAACCACUUUCUUCUCAGGAACUGCAUUUUCCUGCAGAUUUAAGUUUACCAAAAUACUUGUCAGGGCCAAUAGGAAACUCCAAGCCCCAACUGAUUGGUGUCUUUCUACGCAAAACCUUAGUCUACUUCCAGGACAUGAGAAACAGAGCAUUGCUACGGAAUGCUGAGACCUUAGGUGGCAAGAGAAUGGCAUAUAACAAAGCAAGGGGUGAGGAAGAACAUGUAUCUACCUCUUGGAUUUGGACAGCAGAGCUUGAAUACAAUACAUUAGCAGAGGGUACCGGAUAUUCAGCCAAUACUUCAACUGCUGGGCCAACUUCAAGGACUGCAGGAGCACGAAUAAAGACACCUCGGAAUGUUUCAGGACCACCUUCCUGAGACACUAUUUUUGGGAUGGAAAGCUCUGCCUCGAAGCUUUGAAUCUAAAUAGACAAGUGUUCUAAAGUUAAUGCUAGGUAAUCACAAGAGGGAUACACCAGUUGCAGUAAGGUUCACUUAAAAAGAAAACAUAAAAUCAAAAGCGAUGGCAAAAAUUCCAGUAGUUUGAGUUUCUUUUGAGGAUGAUUUAGAUAUGCCUACGUUUCGUUGCAAGCAGUAGAUAUUUUUACGCAAAAACUGACUUCGACAAACAUUACAUGCAAUUGACCCGAAAAGUUAGCAAUAACGAAAGCCAGAAACCAGGCAGAGAGCUACAUGUAGGAACCUCUAUCAAGGUCCUAAAAGAAGCAUAUGUAGCGUGGGGGCAUAGAUCCUUCUCAGUAUCAGUUCAUCUCUCACAUCCAAAUGAGCAUAGUUGAUAAAUUAUUUCAAACUUUUAAGGUUUCAUAAGCUGUGCAGAGACGUGUUCUGAAUAUACUUCGUUUGUACCUGACUGCCAAAGUAAUUCCUGUGUACGGUGCAAUCUAGUCCACCAACCAGUUCCUGACCUCCAGUUUUCUGCCCUGCAAAGGGCCAACAAAUGUCAUUUACUUCAUACUCAAUUCCAUAUAUUACAAGGAUAAAACCAGUGGACAAUGAUAAUUAGCGUAAAUGAACCCACCCACUGCCUUCUCUGCCAAGAAGAUAAGACCAGCACAAGUGCCCCAAACAGGUUUUCCCGUCUUAACAAACUCUCGCAGAGCAGGAAACUGGAACAGAAACAAUACGAAAAAACUUCAGUACAAACAAUAAACUUGAGGCAUACUUGGUGGAAGACUUAAGAGAAUGAUCAAAUCAGAACUGUUAUGCUAAACACAUGCACUAUGUUUUGAUAGGAAAAUCAAGUUACUGUGAGGAAUCUAUUAGUUCAUACUAACAAAACCAAUCCGGCAUUGAACUUGCUAAUAUUUGUACAACUCUUAACUCCAUAAACCGUUGCAUUCCUAUAAUCUUAUACCAUAUUUCAUCUGUAGUUUCUGAUACUGAGCAUCCACCUCAAGCACAUACUAGCACUGUCAAUUGACAAACAUACAAGCUAAUGAAAGAUUCCACGCAAGUAGGAUUCGCAUAGCUGUUGAAAAUGUGAAACCUUUUACUGUUCUGAUUUUUCCUGAAUCAUCAAGGAUGGAACAAAUCAUAAGGUUGAUACAUAACUACGCCACCAAAACAAUAUAAAGCUUCAUGCUUUCUUAACAAAGUCAAUAAGGAAAACAAAAGAUUGUUACUUUAUAGUUAUCCCAAAUCAAGAGACAUGAAUCGAACGAGAAAAAUGGAAACAGCAUUCACCAAAUUGGACAUAAGAAGCAGAAUAUUCAGAAAGAAAAAUGGCUGAGAGGAAAAAUCACCAAGUUGUGGAACGCAGCAAGCUUAGCCAUGGUGGUACUUUCGCCACCAGGAAUGAUGAGAGAGCUAACAUUUUGAAGCUGCUCUGGCUUCCUAAUUUCCACACCCUUUACUCCCAAUCUGCUGAGAGCUGCCCACAGCCACAACAAAUCCCCAAACAGUUUCUUUUCAGAAUACAGCUCACAUCAGAAACCCAAUUUUGCGAGUAAAAGAAAUAGGAAAAGAAAGAUAAAAGAGACCUGAAAUGUGUUCAUUAAAAGAACCCUGUAACGCAAGGACGCCGACAACCAUCGCUGCCUGAGAAGUUUUGGAAGAAGUGUGUCGUCCUCCUCCUCCCGCUUUUUGUCGUGGUGGGUGGAGGUGGCUGGCUAGUGGUUCUUCUGAUUUAUAUUUGUUUUAUGUUGGUAGGUUUUGCUGCGCGGCUGAAUAUUUUUUACAACCCUAGACGAAUUUUUUAAAAAUUUAUGAAAUUUAUUUUAAAAUAAAUAUUUUUUGUGUUUGGUAUGUAAAAAAAUAUAUUUUCAAUUUUAUAUUUUAAAUUUUGUGAAAUUGAGAUUAGUGUUAAUUAUUUUGUGGAAUUGAGUAAAUAUUUUGAAAUGAUUUUUACAAAGAUUUAUUAAUUACAUUAAAAUGAAUUAUCUAUCCUUAAUUAAUAAUUAAAUUAACAUCAAAUGCAUCAAACUUAAUAUACAAUUAAAGUCGGCUGAUUCUCUAUUUGCUCAAACCUUCUCAUUUUUGUUGCCGACACCCAAACAUCAAUUUUAAAGAGGUUGGAUAUCUCCUUUCUUCUUCAUUCAAUAAUCAUCAUAUUUUCUAAUUAUUAAUUGUUAUGGUUACGAGCAAAUGCAUUCGUUUUAUGUACAUUGUUAUUACUUUUACGAUAUGUCGGUUAAGGUAACUAAUUCAAUAAACUCUUCCACACAAUGAGUAAUAAUAAUAUCUUCUUUGCUGAAAGGGCAUAUGUGGAAACUUUUGAUUUAAUUCAAUUUUAAAUCGUAUAUCAAAUAUGAUUUUGAAAUUCAAUACAUUUUAUUUUUAAGAAUUGAAUAUGACAUUCUAAACAUAAAAAUUUAUUUCAAAAUGAAUUUUACAAAUAAUUCUUUUUAAAAUGAAAUAAAUUCUUUAUUCAUUUGAUAUCAAACAAAACAAUACGUAAAUCAAACGGGAUUUGAUUUGAGCGACAGAUUUGAUGCAGCUGCUUGCAAAUUGUUCAAUCGGAAAGAAGCAUCCAUCCAAACAAGGGAGCGUCUACGACUUGAUGAGGUCCGUCAACUAAAUAUUUUCAGUUUUACCAAACUCAAUUAAAGGUAAAUUUGAAUCCUGCACAAAUGUGGCCAGAUAUGAAAUAGUCUUCAAGUGACGAAUUUGAAAUUCAAAUUUAGUUAAUAAUAGUACCUUUUUGAGGUGUUAAAUUAGGUAUUUUGAUUAAAAUAAUUCAAUUAAGUAAAUGUCUCGUUUAUCAUUUAAAAUGAAAAAAAAAAGAAAUAUUUUCGAAUUAUUUCAAAUACUUGAUUAUGAAUAUGGUAUAUAAAAUAAUUCAAUUCAAGGUUUAUAAUUCAUUAUUUUUAUAUUAAUUAACAAAGUAAUUCUUACAUAUCAAAUAUUUUACACCUAAAAAAUUACACAUUUUUAAAUAAUAUAUAUUUAGACUUCAUUUGUGAAAUAACUCAUUCAAACUGGAGAAAUAUUUUAAUUGGACAACAUCAUCAACAACCAAAUAAUAUGAGGGUCGUGGACUGCAGCUUGAAUGGGCCUAAGUUUAACUAAAGUGAUUCAAGCCCAAUUGCACGCUAGCUUCCUUGUCUGCCAAGUGUUAAGAACAGAAUCAACUCCGAUGCUCUGUUUUGCAGUAGUAAUGAUAAUUAAUUUUCACCCAACAUAUAAAGUUAAGCAUAUUCAUAAAGUUACUACACCUACUGGGAUUGAUAAACUACAAGUUACAGAGGAUCCUUACAAAGAAAAAAGAGUAAGAACAAACAGAUGAGGUAAGGUAAAGGAAGAAGGAGCCUAAGUCAACCAAAUGCUACGAAUACAUACAUCAGUAAUAAUUUGUUGAUCCACCCUUAAAAUUCCAAAUAUCAUCAAUGUCCCAGCCCACAGCAGCAGCAGCAGCAUUAUCUCCGGCGACGAAAUCAUCAACCAAAUAGUUCUCCACAUCCCAAUUCGGAAGCCAAAUCGAACCCCACCACAUUUGCUCAUAAUCUCCUCCUCCACAGUUGUAGCUGUAGUACCACUCCCUCCCCACCGCCGCCUCCUCUUCCUCCCUCUUCUCCAUUACCGCCGCCGCUGCCUCUGCCGCCGCCAGACCAUGAGCAGCAUUGCUAAUUGUACUAGCGACGUCGGCGGCCUGAUCUGAAUCUGGAUGAUGAACAGGAUUAUGGUCUGAUCCUGGUCUACAGUUUUGAUCAGGUGGUGCUGCCUUGGCCAUCAUCGUCGUCUUACUCUUCUUUCCACCGGCGGCAGCCUUACUCUGCUUGCCGCCGCUAGUAUCCCCGUUAAUGCUCCUUACCCUUUUCAUGUGUUUGUUUCAAAAUUGAAUC
rnacentral:lncRNA from 1 species